CCUGAGAAACCCAAAAGAUCGAAUGGGGAGAUUCAUCGUCAGCGGCUUUGGCUUCCGUGCGGUACGCGAUGGCGGGGACCUCGGUCUCGCGUCACGCUGCCGCUGCGGCAUGUCCGGAGUCGUCGGCGUGCACUUCUCCCCUAGUAGGACGUCGCGACCCGUUGGGUGUCGGAUCGAUGGCCGGUCGGUCGUCUGUUGCGCUCGCGCUUCAGACCGAUUCGGUCGAAAGUCCGGCUGCCCGGCGGUAUUGAACGAUAUGAACUGGUAUCGGGCCGCACUCGAAUGCGUUCAGGCUCGUCGGCAGGCUCGUCUCGCUCGGAUUUACGGACCUAGCGCCGUUGCCGGGCGCUUGGCGUGGCUGUUAGUCGACGAUGUCCUCGGACUGGCUCUUACCCGUCGGCGACGCUACUGCUUUGGGUACUUUC
rnacentral:rRNA from 1 species